GAGUGUAUAGCUCAAGUGGUAGAGCCCAUGCUUAGCAUGCACAAGGUCCUGGGUUCAAUCCCCAGUACCUCCA
rnacentral:tRNA from 1 species